GACGAACGCUGGCGGCGUGCUUAACACAUGCAAGUCGAGCGGUAAGGCCCUUUCGGGGGUACACGAGCGGCGAACGGGUGAGUAACACGUGGGUGACCUGCCCUCAGCUCUGGGAUAAGCCUGGGAAACCGGGUCUAAUACCGGAUAUGACUCCAUGACGCAUGUUGUGGGGUGGAAAGGCCUUGUGCGGCUGAGGAUGGGCCCGCGGCCUAUCAGCUUG
rnacentral:rRNA from 1 species